UGGCUUAGCGGUAAAGCACUUGGCUUCCGAACCAGGGGUCCCGGGUUCGAGUCCCGG
rnacentral:tRNA from 1 species